CUUAAGUGGUGCCUGCUUCACAGCAAAAUCUGUAGUGUUAAUUUUCCAGUGUAAAAUAUUUUGAGUUAAUGAGUGUUGAUUUGGGUGUUGUUUUAACACUUGCAGUGAUGAAAUCGCUCUGAGGGCGGUGCUAAUUAAGCGAGUUGAAUGCAAACACCGCUGGCGGAGUUAAAUAUACUCUUGGUGGAGUUAAUAAGCCACGCCCUAUUUCAAAUCGCGCAUCUCGGCCAUUGCCGACAGAGGAGAAGAAGGCGGUGGGUACGUCUGUUUGAAAAAGAUGCAGUUUCAAGAUGUCAUCAUGUUGCUGAAGGUGAAAUACCAGAGUACCAAAAAGUACAUCAGAUUACAGUCAGGUUUCACCUUUUUGGAUUUCAUCAAUGAAGUCAAAAACAAGUUUGGGCUUCCUGAUGACACUGAACUUGAUGUUUUUGAUGAAACCGACACAGCAGUGGAGGAAGACAUCUUUAUUGAACUGAUAGAGGCCAAUCCGGACUUAUGCCUGAAAGUACGUGACAGCAUUUCACAUGAAGUGGAUUACAAAAAAGCCACACUGCCUGAGCAGCUUGAUGGAGAUGCCUGCAGGGAAGCUAUUUCAUUUCUUGUUCACUCUCCUGAUGAAGCAAGUGUGUUUCAGAAGAUGAAGAUGACCUUGCAACAUCGCCAGGACCUAGUGCAUGAUCCACAGAGAACCACAGAUGUCUUUAAAACAUUCCCACGAUUUUUAGAUGUGAAAGGACUGCUGAAUCAAGACUCCCUGCUGCUGUUUGGAGCUGAAACAGCCUCCAAGAUGCUUGAGAAGUGGGACACAGUAUUCAGGCCCAAAGUUAUCAAAGAGGCCAAACACUUGACUCAGUCAACUGAGCUGUGCCGACUUCUGAAAGCUGCUGAGAAACUCACAGAGAACGAUGACACAAACUGGGACAGCGACGUGGCUUCUCUACUGCUCCUUCUCCAUCUCUUGCCACCCACAGCUGGACAGAAGAGGGCCAAGAUAACUUGCAGUAAUGCAGUGGACAAAAUGGUUCACUUUCACAAAUCAUGCUGCAGCAUCGAUGAACACCUGCGAGGAAGUGAGGGUAAACAACCAUAUAUCCUUGCUGCUGGCCGAACCCAGAACAGGAUUGACACUUUCUACAUUGUUGUGGACAAACAGCUCAUCCCCUGCCAAGCUGCCAACUCGUUGGGUUCUUUUGAUGAACUAUUUAAAUCCCACUAUGUAUUCAACCUAUCUUAUGAUGAGUCUCUGGUCCAGCUCUACACUUUUGUGCAGACAACAAUCUAUAACAUUGAUGUUACCACAACGGAAGAGUCACCAAGAGUUUGU
ensembl:lncRNA